rnacentral:rRNA from 1 species
GAUGAACGCUGGCGGCGUGCUUAACACAUGCAAGUCGAACGAACCUUCGGGUUAGUGGCGGACGGGCGAGUAACGCGUGAGAAUCUGCCCUCAGGAGGGGGAUAACGGUUGGAAACGACCGCUAAUACCCCAUAUGCCUAUUGGUGAAAUGAAUUUCGCCUGAGGAUGAGCUCGCGUCUGAUUAGCUAGUUGGUGAGGUAAUGGCUCACCAAGGCUUCGAUCAGUAGCUGGUCUGAGAGGAUGAUCAGCCACACUGGGACUGAGACACGGCCCAGACUCCCACGGGAGGCAGCAGUGGGGAAUUUUCCGCAAUGGGCGAAAGCCUGACGGAGCAACGCCGCGUGAGGGACGAAGGCCUCUGGGCUGUAAACCUCUUUUCUCAAGGAAGAAGAUAUGACGGUACUUGAGGAAUAAGCCACGGCUAAUUCCGUGCCAGCAGCCGCGGUAAUACGGGAGUGGCAAGCGUUAUCCGGAAUUAUUGGGCGUAAAGCGUCCGCAGGCGGCUUUUCAAGUCUGCUGUUAAAACGUGGAGCUUAACUCCAUCAUGGCAGUGGAAACUGAAAGGCUUGAGUAUGGUAGGGGCAGAGGGAAUUCCCGGUGUAGCGGUGAAAUGCGUAGAUAUCGGGAAGAACACCAGUGGCGAAGGCGCUCUGCUGGGCCAUUACUGACGCUCAUGGACGAAAGCCAGGGGAGCGAAAGGGAUUAGAUACCCCUGUAGUCCUGGCCGUAAACGAUGAACACUAGGUGUCGGGGGAAUCGACCCCUUCGGUGUCGUAGCUAACGCGUUAAGUGUUCCGCCUGGGGAGUACGCACGCAAGUGUGAAACUCAAAGGAAUUGACGG